rnacentral:rRNA from 1 species
GAUGAACGCUGGCGGCGUGCCUAAUACAUGCAAGUCGAGCGAAAAGAUGAGGAGCUUGCUCCUCUGACGUUAGCGGCGGGGGGGUGAGUAAAACGUGGAUAACCCAGCUAUAAGACUGGGAUAAAUUCGGGAAAACGGAGCUAAUACCGGAAAAUAUCUUGAACCGCAUGGUUCAAUAGUGAAAGACGGGUUUGCUGUCACUUAUAGAUGGAUCCGCGCCGCAUUAGCUAGUUGGUAAGGUAACGGCCUACCAAGGCGACGAUGCGUAGCCGAGCUGAGAGGGUGAUCAGCCACACUGGAACUGAGACACGGUCCAGACUCCUACGGGAGGCAGCAGUAGGGAAUCUUCCGCAAUGGGCGAAAGCCUGACGGAGCAACGCCGCGUGAGUGAUGAAGGUCUUCGGAUCGUAAAACUCUGUUAUUAGGGAAGAACAAAUGUGUAAGUAACUAUGCACGUCUUGACGGUACCUAAUCAGAAAGCCACGGCUAACUACGUG